AACCUUAUGGACCUGCGGGCGUAUACCUGCGGAAGGAUCAUUAUAGAGAUUGAUGCACCAAGUGCAUCACCUCCAACCCCUUGCGAAAACAACUAUCAUGUGUUGCUUUGGCAGUGUUUCCACUGCCAGAGGUUUACAUAAAAUCAGCUGUUUGGAUGUUGUCUGAGUAAACUAUAUGAAUUAUUUAAAACUUUUAACAACGGAUCU
rnacentral:misc_RNA from 1 species